rnacentral:rRNA from 4 species
UUCGGUCUUUGGAGCGGAGUGGAACUACCUUUUCCCAUUCCGAACAGAGAAGUAAAACACUCCAGCGCCGACGAUAGUAAUUCCGCAAGGAACUGCGAAAAUAGGCCAAGGCCGAAG